rnacentral:rRNA from 1 species
UCAGUCGACUCCUACGGGGAGGCAGCAGUGAGGAAUAUUGGUCAAUGGGCGAAAGCCUGAACCAGCCAUGUCGCGUGCAGGACGACUGCCCUAUGGGUUGUAAACUGCUUUAUAUGGGAAGAAAUGCGAGUACGUGUACUUGUUUGCCGGUACCAUAUGAAUAAGCAUCAGCUAACUCCGUGCCAGCAGCCGCGGUAAUACGGAGGAUGCGAGCGUUAUCCGGAUUCAUUGGGUUAAAGGGUGCGUAGGCGGAAGUGUAAGUCAGGGGUGAAAGUUUGCAGCUCAACUGUAAAAAUUGCCUUUGAUACUGCAUUUCUUGAGUACAUUUGAGGUAGGCGGAAUGUGUUGUGUAGCGGUGAAAUGCUUAGAUAUAACACAGAACACCGAUUGCGAAGGCAGCUUACUAAACUGUAACUGACGCUGAUGCACGAAAGCGUGGGGAUCGAACAGGAUUAGAUACCCUGGUAG